AAACAUCUAAGUACCCCGAGGAAAAGAAAUCAACCGAGAUUCCCCCAGUAGCGGCGAGCGAACGGGGAGCAGCCCAGAGCCUGAAUCAGUGUGUGUGUUAGUGGAAGCGUCUGGAAAGGCGCGCGAUACAGGGUGACAGCCCCGUACACAAAAAUGCACAUGCUGUGAGCUCGAUGAGUAGGGCGGGACACGUGGUAUCCUGUCUGAAUAUGGGGGGACCAUCCUCCAAGGCUAAAUACUCCUGACUGACCGAUAGUGAACCAGUACCGUGAGGGAAAGGCGAAAAGAACCCCGGCGAGGGGAGUGAAAAAGAACCUGAAACCGUGUACGUACAAGCAGUGGGAGCACGCUUAGGCGUGUGACUGCGUACCUUUUGUAUAAUGGGUCAGCGACUUAUAUUCUGUAGCAAGGUUAACCGAAUAGGGGAGCCGAAGGGAAACCGAGUCUUAACUGGGCGUUAAGUUGCAGGGUAUAGACCCGAAACCCGGUGAUCUAGCCAUGGGCAGGUUGAAGGUUGGGUAACACUAACUGGAGGACCGAACCGACUA
rnacentral:rRNA from 1 species